GUGCUUGGUUCGGCAGCACAUAUACUAAAAUUGGAACAAUACAAAGAUUAGCAUGGCCCAUGCUCAAGGAUGACACAGAAAUUCAUGAAGCAUACCAUAUUUUU